UUUUGAUUACAGGUGUGGUCUUUAAAAAAAUUAAUGCAUGGCAAGGUUGAUAGUGAGACUAAUAAAUUCUUUCAGCAGAAUUCAGCUAGACACAAAAAAAAAAGACAAUCACUACAGCCUUCCAAGAAGAUGGACUGCCUCACAAUAGUUUCCUUGAGGACUGUCUUGAAAUAUCCAGAGUUUAAGAUUCAAGAAACGGACUCUAUCUGGAAAAGGAAAACAAUAUCAAAGCUCCUCUGUGAGAAGUUGGCCAAGGAAAGCAUUCAGAAGAAAGUGGAGAUUCAUUGUUUUUACCAGAUCCAGCAGAUCACAGAAAGCAUCUAGUAGGGGAGGUCUACAGAUCGAAGCAUGCCAAACGUGUAAAGAACAAGUUUCCAGGAUUAAGCCAGCCAGUAGAUGAGACUAUUAUAUCAAAAA